rnacentral:misc_RNA from 1 species
UAUUACAAUAAAUAAUUACGAAAAUACCUGAUAUUUAGACAGCUGUCUUGAUCAAAGCAGAGAUCUUGCAGAGAUCUUGGUAUAUUCUUUGGCAGAGAUCAAAUCAUAGGAUCAAAUCAAGGAUCAAAUCAAUCAAAUCUGAUCAAAUCCUUACAUGUUGAAGAGAUGUCGAACUUAAAAGCUAUAGACCAAGGUGAAAAUGACGAAGACAUCGAGAUAUAUAAAAAGAAUAAACCAUUUUGGAUUACAACUGCGAUUGCUGCUGAGAUUGGACGAGAAGAAUUGUUGGGUGCAACAUUUAGAGAUAUUGUAUUACAUAUAAUUUCUUUGUUGUUUUUGAGCAUAUAUAUAUUUAGUCAGAUCAGUGUAUCCGAAUAUUAUAUAACAACAGCGUUAAAAAAUAGUUUUGAUAUUGAUGAAGACGGAGAUUUUUUUAAGAUAAUAUCAGCUGAGAAGUUUUGGGAGUUUUUAGAGGAACCAUUAACUGACGCGCUUUACAAAACCCGCGAUAGCAGUAUAACAGAUACGGAGUCUAUGUAUAUGCUAAAUGAAAAUAGAGUUUUGGGGGUACCACGAAUGAGACAAGUUAAAGUGAAAUCAAAUUCCUGUCAGAUUCAUGGCUAUUUUCGAAGACUAUUCGUUUCUUGUUACAGUUUGUUUUCUAACAUAGGUGAAGAUCGAGAGUCCUUUGGACUUAAGAGCGGCACUGCAUGGGUUUACAGCGAUGCGGACAAAACAGAGAGUUUGAGUUACAGCGGAACAUUGUCAACUUAUACUGGUGGUGGAUUUUAUGUGGACUUUUCCACUGACAAAAAUGAUACCGAGGAUUUAAUAGGAGAUCUAAAGGAAAAUUUGUGGGUUACACGUGGUACGCGCGCUGUGUUUAUCGACUUCAGUAUUUACAACUCAAAUUUGAACUUAUUCUGCAUUUGCAAGUUAGUGUUUGAAUUUUUGCCUUCGGGAGAUGUUAAGCCCAACUUUAAAUUUAGCCCAGCUACCUUGCUCGAGUUUCAGGACUGGAGAUUUUGGACUCUCAGGUUUCUGCUCUAUUUGUUCGGAAUUUAUAUCAUAUUUUGCUUGUUCGAAGAGUUUAGGGAAAUAAUCUAUUUCGGAUGGAACUAUCUGGCACAGUUCUGGACUUACAUCGAUCUAUCCGUCAUUGUGCUAGCAUUUAUGAUGAUAUUUGGUACAGAAUAUAUGAGAAUAAUUGUACCCAGCUAUUUGGAGAAGAUAAAAAAUAAACCAACCGCAUACGGCAAUUUAGAAUAUCCGGAAGUUGCCUAUAGCACAUUUAAAGUUAUUGGCGCUUUGCUGUUAUUUUUUGUGUACAUCCGAACCUUCAAAUAUUUAAAUUUUAACAAGAGAAUGGCUCAGCUUAAUGACACAAUUAAACAGUGUUCUAAAGAUAUAAUGGGAUUUUCCGUGAUGUUUUUUGUGGCCUAUUUCGCUUAUGCAGAAUUGGGCUACCUAGUUUUUGGAAGUGAGGUCAAAUCAUAUAGUACUUUCGGAUUUUCUAUGUUCACUUUGCUGCGCACCAUCUUGGGUGACUUUGAUUUUGAAGAAAUUCACAAAGCGAAUUGGAUUGUAGCCCCAAUAUACUUUUUAUCAUUUAUUAUUCUGGUAUUUUUUGUAUUGCUGAAUAUGUUUCUUGCUAUUAUCAACGACACCUACUCCGAUGUGAAAACGGACAUAGCAAUUGCACCUAAGGAGAUGGAACUAAUUGACUAUUUAGAGCAAGGAUUCAAAAGGAUUUUAUUGAAACUGGGAUGCAGAGUACGAACAAGUCAACCUGAAAGAGAACCACAGCAUAAUACAAACAUUAACAAAAUUCGCGAUGCUUUAGUUAAUUAUAUUGUGAGCUGAACUCCUUCGCUUUUUUCACGAUGGUAAUGUUAGUUGUUUUAAAAGCUGCUCUCCCCACUCACAUAGAAAUUAAGGGCCUCCAGAAUGCAAAUUUGAGGAACGAGAGAUUCAGAUGUAUUUUACGCGCUAUGAAAUUGACCCGUUAAAAGAAUUAAAGAAGAAGGAUAUCGAUAGUUUUUUCGAAAAACUUGCUCUCGAAGAUGAAGCCAAGAAAGCAGAACAACAGAGGGUUGUAAAGUGGCAAGAUUUUCAAAGACAAGAUGCUAAAUUAAUUGAAUUGGAACGUAGUCUGGCAACGUUAGGUCAACGAGUUCAAGAAUUGUUGACCACAAUAGAAAAUAUCCAAGGAGCUAAAAAGAAAACCUAAUCACGAAAGAAAAACGCACGUUUUCUUGACAUAAUUGCUUUAUUAUAUAUAAUAUUUACUAUAAACAAAAUAUUUACAGUACUUUACACAGCAUAAUGCAGAUAUAUAUGUUCAGUCAAUACUUAAAAAAAGGAAAACACUUAUAUAUUUACUUAAAAUUAUUGAUAUAAACAAGGAUAGAAUGAAAAUAAUUAGCUACACUUGUGAUGAGCAUUCUAAUAUAUCACAAAUGACGUGUGGCAUUUGUUUAAGACACAUAAAUUCAGUAAUAUUAAACACAAUUUUCCUGUUUGGAUGAGUAUGAAAAUACUAUACGAUCGAAAAAACGGCGUCAGUUGGUCUGGAAAUAAAGAUCGUCGUCAUUUCAUAUGUAAAAUUAUGUGGCGAAUGUCAACAAUCCGCCUUUUUCAAGCCAAACUGAUGCCGUUUUUUUCGAUCAUACGGUAUAAGUAUGUUAUUUAUUUUAGUCUAAUAUGAUAAACAGGAAUAAACAUUCAUUUUGGUGCAUCUACCUUUCCCUUUAUAAAAAUUACAAGGGAUUGAUUAUGAAUUAUAAUUGACAUGAAAAUUAUAAAAUUUGUGAUUGUUUUAAUAUCAAAGUAUCACAUAGGUAAGUUAUUUGUGUUACAAAAUGAUUUAAAUUUGAUAUAAGUAUUUUGUGGCUGUGGAUGAUUUUCAAUUAUUGUUGUUAGGCGAACUUUUAGGAACAUUUACAAUUGCCACAAACAAUGAUUUAUUUUUCUAUUAUACUCCUAUCACAGACCUAAUCAGCAAAAUUAACAUUUUCUAUAUAUUUUAAAAGUUAUAAAAUAAAUAAAUACAUCACUUACUUAUUAAAACUUAGUAUUAUACAAAACAAAGUAGAAAAUGAUACAGAAUAUAAAACAAAUUGCUAUGUACAUUUUUAUAAUGCUGGGUAACUUGUUUAAAUCAAAAAAAAUAUAGGUUUCGCAAUACAUACAGGGUGAUUCUGUAUUCCAAGUUAGAGAAAUCAUCCUGUAUAUAUUUAAAAGCAAAUACAAGGAGGCCCUCUUCAACUACAAUUAUUUUUUUUUACUGGAAUGCUUCAUAUAUUUUUAAACAUUUAGGGAUUCAAUAAAGACACGUGCAUUAUCUAUAUUAAGAGAGCUUGUAAAAAAAACGAAAACUUUUAUACUAUCCCUAGAAGUUUCAAAACCCUGUUAUAUAUUUUUAAAGCUGAUUUACAUUGGUAUUUGCAUAUUUUCUAAACUACGAUAAAACUAUGAAUUAAUAAUUAAAUUCAUAAUCUAAUUCUACAAUCAUUAAGACAAAUAAAAAAUAUAAAAACAGAUGAAAGUCUUUGAUGUUCAUGCCGUUAGAAAAUUUACUCUAAACUAUUAUAAAUACUGUAAAAAAAUUGUAUAUCGAUAUUCUUAAAUAGAUGACAUAGUGUAUAUUCAUUUUUUUUGUUUUUUUUUAAAUGCAUUUACGCGAGUAAUUUAGGUAUAAAAAAAUCUUGAAUAGUAAAAUAAGAUUGGCCUUUAUAUUACAAUUAUCUAGACAUUUGAAUAUUUGUUCUACAGAAUGUUUAUAAGGAACUAUAAACAAUUUUAGUCUAAAAUAAUGAAUCCUACAAAAAUUUAAAAUAGUCAUAUAUGUAUCUACCUAACAUGAGAGAAGCACAAAGUAAAUUAAAAUGUAAGAUUGUUGUGUUCUAAAAAGACUGAUAUCGUCAGAUUCAUUAUUACAAAACACUAAAUUCAUAUACUAAAAAAGACAUUAAGAACUGAUUACAUUAAUUUAUUUUUUUAAUUUAAGUAGACAAUCAUUUUUUUUUGUUUUUUUUUAAUAUUUUUAAGUAGAAAAAAUACAUUGAUGAUUUUAAGGGACAUAUAAUUUAAAAUAAAAUGAGAGAGGCUUUUCUAAGAAUAUGCUUUAAAGUAAAAAA